AUUAGUGUUAUUUGAUCUGGUUAAUAUAACUUAAGAACCAACCCAUUGAGUCAUUGACAAAGUAAUACUGAGAUUUAAAAUUUACAGAAAUCGCGAUAAUCACCAAUGAAUAGGAGUAUUUUUAUGAAAAAAGUAAAAGCAAAGUAUCUAAAAAAAAAUAUGUGAGACUACUAUUGUUUUGUCUAUUUAAAAUUCGCUAGAGAAGAAAAAGAAGUAUACUGAAAACUCCAUCAAUUCAUGCAAAACUUGGCCGAGCAAUGGGGAAUCGGCGAACCGUCUACAUGAGUUUACAAUAUUUUGAGCAAGAUUCGUUCACCAUGAAGGCGGGAAUUUGAAUAGUUAUACUGCACAUCAAGGUUCAACACCUGAAAAGUUAUUCCUUUUACAGGUGUUCUUACUAAUUGUAAUAAGAAAUUAAAACACUUACAGCAUCUCUCCAUCAACAGUCUGAACAUCAAUGGCCAUCGAAACUUACACAGAGAAAAUAAAGAUUUAUCACAAGUAGGGCAAAGUGCAGAAUGACAGGAAUGAAGUUAAAAGUUAAAAAGGUGAUACGUAAACGUAGCAGUAUACGAUAUUUCGUCAACAAUCUGGGAUCACUAUCAGAUGUAGGAGCACUUCUCAUUAUAGAAGAGAUUGUACCUUGGGGAUUUCAUCUGUUGUGAUGUGUGAUGCUGUCGUGGUGCACUGCCUAACAGGGCCUUACGGCAAAUCUGGAGGAGGUGCGACAUAUUCGGCCCCAUGGCACCUACACCAAGAGACCGAACAGUACGGGCCCGUGCUAGAAGCUAACAUGGGGAGAAAAAUGCGUGGCAGCCAACGGAAAACUAACAAAAAUAUUA